rnacentral:lncRNA from 1 species
GCUUGUUGGUUUUGGAAAUACGAUGCAUCUACUGCUGGUUUCUCCCGGUAUUGGCAGUGAAGAAAUGUCUGGGAAACCACUGAGGGCAAGAUCAACACCUUUGAAGGAAUGGAUUGGAUCAAGCUAGGCGUUGGCCCAUCAUCUAUGGUAUGUCAUUUCCCCGGUUGGGAGCAUCACUGACGCCUUGAUCGAGAACGAGGCCUCUUGCGGAAUAUCGUCAGAUCACAACGACGCUGAAAACCUGAAAUCUAUGCCAAUGAGCCAUCUCCUCCCUAUUUAUCAACAUGUACCUCGUUCAGAGACUUGUGUUUCCAACUGAUUUCACUCUACUGUCUCCGUACGAUUCCGCUGGCAAAGUUGGUCAAUCCUCUGAGCCACAGUACAUGGAACGUAUGCGAAAAUGUUCUGUCUUGUUUGCUGGGGCAGCAACGCCAAGCCUUGGGCUACUCACAUCUUUCGGAAAUUACUGCUGCCCGGUUGUCGAUUCGUUCGCUUCCCAGUUGAAAAUUGUAUCCUCUGACAUUGGGCCAUUUUUGUCGCGAUGCAUCUGAAAUCGUCACCAUCUUUUGCGUUUGUCGCGUAGCGUUUGUGAAAGACAUCCUCGGCCGUCACACCGGACAAGAAAAAGACGAGCAGUGCGAGCUUUUCCUCGUCGAAAAACUUUGCGUUCCAUCUCAGUGAAUUGAGGAAUGUCGGGCAGUUAAGGCGCUCUAUGCCCAAGCACACGACGUUAUCUGUGAUGAAACUGCUCCGGAAGCUAUCCUGUCUGAAACCUGUCUGGAGUUGGAGGAACUCUUGGCUCUCUUGGCUGACCCGGAACGAUUCAGUACAAUUGCCGAUUGGUACCUAAUAAGGGCGCCCUUUGCGUAAAGUUGAUUGGAAUUAUAUCACAGUCGUCAAAGCCGUAGAUCGAAUUUUAAAGCAGGAUAAUUCCAGUAAAAGAGUGCAACUAGAAUCUCUCCAAGUUGGUGUCCUCUCUACCCGUACCUUCUGCCAAGCACAGGCUUGUUCGCACGGAAAUAGCCCAGAAAGCGGCCUACAUCUUCCAAAAAAUUAUUGAACUCCAGUUAAAGUUGCUAAUUGCAGUAAAAAAAAAUUCAUGGUCAUUUUAGCUCAAAUUUGAACUCUCAUUAGUCGGUCAACGCAUCCGAGGAAUUUGUGGUUCCCUCUCGUUUUUUCCUGCCGCAAUAACUCCGUCAGCUUCCUGUGACGCAGGAUUACUCGCUCUCAGAGCUUAACAACGUUGUCCGUAUGUACUUUCUCGAACUGAAUGUUCAAAAGGUGCCAAGU